AACGGAGGAUGCGAGCGUUAUCCGGAUUUAUUGGGUUUAAAGGGUGCGUAGGCGGACUGUCAAGUCAGCGGUAAAAUUGAGAGGCUCAACCUCUUCCCGCCGUUGAAACUGGUGGUCUUGAGUGGAUGAGAAGUACGCGGAAUGCGUGGUGUAGCGGUGAAAUGCAUAGAUAUCACGCAGAACUCCGAUUGCGAAGGCAGCGUACCGGCAUCCAACUGACGCUGAGGCACGAAAGCGUGGGGAUCAAACAGG
rnacentral:rRNA from 1 species